rnacentral:rRNA from 1 species
CUACCCCCCGGUCUGGGAUAUACGGUGGAAACGCCGGGUAAUACUGGACGUCAUCAUGGAGCGGCAUCGCCUCAUGAUGAAAGAUUUAUCGCCGGGGGAGGGGCCCAUGUCCUAUCAGCUUGUUGGUGAGGUAACGGCUCACCAAGGCUGCGACGGGUAGGGGGUGUGAGAGCAUGGCCCCCGUCACUGGGACUGAGACACUGCCCAGACUCCUACGGGAGGCUGCAGUCGAGAAUCUUCGGCAAUGGGCGAAAGCCUGACCGAGCGACGCCGCGUGGGGGAAGAAGGCCUUCGGGUUGUAAACUCCUGUUGGGGGGGAGGAAUUCCUGACCGAACCCCUGAGGAAGCACGGGCUAAGUUCGUGCCAGCAGCCGCGGUAAGACGAACCGUGCGAACGUUAUUCGGAAUUACUGGGCUUAAAGAGCGCGUAGGCGGUAUCGUAAGUUGGAGGUGAAAUCCCAUCGGCUCAACCGUGGAACUGCCCCCAAUACUGCGGUGCUCGAGGGAGGUAGGGGCAUGUGGAACUUCCGGUGGAGCGGUGAAAUGUGUUGAGAUCGGAAGGAACGCCAGUGGCGAAAGCGACAUGCUGGAUCUUUUCUGACGCUGAGGCGCGAAAGCUAGGGGAGCGAACGGGAU